AUUGAACGCUGGCGGCAUGCUUUACACAUGCAAGUCGAACGGUAACAGGCCUUCGGGUGCUGACGAGUGGCGAACGGGUGAGUAAUGCAUCGGAACGUACCCCGAGGCGGGGGAUAACGCCGCGAAAGCUGUGCUAAUACCGCAUGUGAUCUGAGGAUGAAAGCGGGGGACCGAGCAGCAAUGUUUGGCCUCGCGCCUUUGGAGCGGCCGAUGUCGGAUUAGCUAGUUGGUGGGGUAAAGGCCUACCAAGGCGACGACCCGUAGCUGGUCUGAGAGGACGACCAGCCACACUGGGACUGGGACACGGCCCAGACUCCUGCGAGAGGCAGCAGUGGGGAAUGGUGGACAAUGGUCGCAAGCCUGAUCCAGCAAGGGCGCGUGCGGGAAGAAGGCCUUCGGGUUGUAAACCGCUUUUGGCAGGAACGAAACGGUGUCCGCUAAUACCGGGCGCUAAUGACGGUACCUGCAGAAUAAGCACCGGCUAACUACGUG
rnacentral:rRNA from 1 species